AUUGAACGCUAGCGGGAUGCUUUACACAUGCAAGUCGAACGAGUGGCGGACGGGUGAGUAAUAUAUCGGAACGUGCCCAGUAGCGGGGGAUAACUACUCGAAAGAGUGGCUAAUACCGCAUACUAUGGGAGCGGCCGAUAUCGGAUUAGCUAGUUGGUGGGGUAAAGGCUCACCAAGGCAAAGAUCCGUAGCUGGUCUUAGAGGACGACCGCCAGCACUGGGAUUGGUAACAGCCCCAGACUCCUACGGGAGGAAGCAGUGGGGAAUUUUGGACAAUGGGGGAAACCCUGAUCCAGCCAUCCCGCGUGUAUGAGAAGGCCUUCGGGUUGUAAAGUACUUUUGGCAGAGAAGCGGUAUCUGCAGAAUAAGCACCGGCUAACUACGUGCCAGCCGCCGCGGUAAUUC
rnacentral:rRNA from 1 species